rnacentral:miRNA from 14 species
GGUUUCUCUGUGUAGCCUUGGCUGUCCUGGAACUCACUCUGUAGACCAGGCUGGCCUUGAACUUAGAGAUCUGCCUGCCUCUGCCCCCUGAGUGCUGGGGUUAAAGGCGUGCCCACCACUGCCC